rnacentral:rRNA from 1 species
AGUUGGGGCUUUUUACCCCAGACGUCAAUCGGUUUCGGCCUAGGGAUCGGGAAAUUAACCGCGGUCGCAGGCACCAGAACGGGCCAUCCAGCAAGGUCGUUGGCCCAUGCUAUAGAGGGAGACUACAUGCCGAUUGCGACAUCCUGGAGGGGCCUCGCGGCCGGUCUUUUUUCCUCACUCCCUCCUCGAGGCGGGGAGUGGGAAAAAAUGCGCCCUGGGAGCUUUCUCGAGAUGUGGAAGCCGUAUUUCUGUCCUCUUAUCGGGAAGGGAUCGUCUAUUUUCCCGUUCCCCUUUGCCGCCAACAGAAGCGCGUUUCUACUCUACUCUAUGAGAAUCAGCUGUAUCCUCGUAUAAGAGGCUAUUUUAAUUGUGGGGGGGAAGCGGGGGCGUCUGCGGCAGCUGUCCUCCUCCGCUUUUUGUUUCGCAGAGGCGGUGGUACGAGCGCUCGGAGACUCCGUCUGGCCGGCUCCGCGGUGCUGACACGGGUGCGCUUCCGCCGGAAGCGAGUGAAAAGGGUCACUCCGGCGGGCGCUGCCUCCCGCUCCCGCUUCAUUGACGGGGCGGGCGGCCAGCAGGCCACCGCUUUUACUGUGAAAAACUCAGAGUGCUCAGAGCAGGCCUCGCGGGGGCCUUCCAUCCCCGCGGCAAGGCCCGAAUGUAAUCUCAUGGAAUAAUGGAAGACGACCUCGGCCCAGUUGUUUGUGGCGCGAUUUUAGUGGCCGCCGAGGUAAUGAUUAACAGGGACCGACGGGGGCAGUCGUACUGCGACGCGAGAGGUGAAAUUCUGAGACCGUCGCAUGACGCCCUACCGCGAAGGCAG